UACGUAGGGUGCAAGCGUUGUCCGGAAUUAUUGGGCGUAAAGAGCUCGUAGGCGGUUUGUUGCGUCGGCUGUGAAAUCCCGAGGCUCAACCUCGGGUCUGCAGUCGAUACGAGCAAACUAGAGUGUUGCAGGGGAGACUGGAAUUCCUGGUGUAGCGGUGAAAUGCGCAGAUAUCAGGAGGAACACCAACGGCGAAAGGCAGCACUCUGGGCCGGAACUGACGCUGAGGAGCGAAAGCGUGGGUAGCGAACAGG
rnacentral:rRNA from 1 species